rnacentral:rRNA from 1 species
GACGAACGCUGGCGGCGUGCUUAACACAUGCAAGUCGAACGGAAAGGCCCUGCUUUUGUGGGGUGCUCGAGUGGCGAACGGGUGAGUAACACGUGAGUAACCUACCCUUGACUUUGGGAUAACUUCAGGAAACUGGGGCUAAUACCGGAUAGGAGCUCCUGCUGCAUGGUGGGGGUUGGAAAGUUUCGGCGGUUGGGGAUGGACUCGCGGCUUAUCAGCUUGUUGGUGGGGUAGUGGCUUACCAAGGCUUUGACGGGUAGCCGGCCUGAGAGGGUGACCGGCCACAUUGGGACUGAGAUACGGCCCAGACUCCUACGGGAGGCAGCAGUGGGGAAUAUUGCACAAUGGGCGGAAGCCUGAUGCAGCAACGCCGCGUGCGGGAUGACGGCCUUCGGGUUGUAAACCGCUUUCGCCUGUGACGAAGCGUGAGUGACGGUAAUGGGUAAAGAAGCACCGGCUAACUACGUGCCAGCAGCCGCGGUGAUACGUAGGGUGCGAGCGUUGUCCGGAUUUAUUGGGCGUAAAGGGCUCGUAGGUGGUUGAUCGCGUCGGAAGUGUAGUCUUGGGGCUUAACCCUGAGCGUGCUUUCGAUACGGGUUGACUUGAGGAAGGUAGGGGAGAAUGGAAUUCCUGGUGGAGCGGUGGAAUGCGCAGAUAUCAGGAGGAACACCAGUGGCGAAGGCGGUUCUCUGGGCCUUUCCUGACGCUGAGGAGCGAAAGCGUGGGGAGCGAACAGGCUUAGAUACCCUGGUAGUCCACGCUGUAAACGGUGGGUACUAGGUGUGGGGUCCAUUCCACGGGUUCCGUGCCGUAGCUAACGCUUUAAGUACCCCGCCUGGGGAGUACGGCCGCAAGGCUAAAACUCAAAGGAAUUGACGGGGCCCCGCACAAGCGGCGGAGCAUGCGGAUUAAUUCGAUGCAACGCGUAGAACCUUACCUGGGUUUGACAUGGAUCGGGAGUGCUCAGAGAUGGGUGUGCCUCUUUUGGGGUCGGUUCACAGGUGGUGCAUGGCUGUCGUCAGCUCGUGUCGUGAGAUGUUGGGUUAAGUCCCGCAACGAGCGCAACCCUUGUUCACUGUUGCCAGCACGUUAUGGUGGGGACUCAGUGGAGACCGCCGGGGUCAACUCGGAGGAAGGUGGGGAUGACGUCAAGUCAUCAUGCCCCUUAUGUCCAGGGCUUCACGCAUGCUACAAUGGCUGGUACAGAGAGUGGCGAGCCUGUGAGGGUGAGCGAAUCUCGGAAAGCCGGUCUCAGUUCGGAUUGGGGUCUGCAACUCGACCUCAUGAAGUCGGAGUCGCUAGUAAUCGCAGAUCAGCAACGCUGCGGUGAAUACGUUCCCGGG